GCAUUCUCAAAAUGUUGAGGCUGAUAACUACCAAAUAUAUUAUCAAGUGAUUAAAAACUUGGAUACCUUGAUAUUUGUGGAGUCAUGUAUGGCACAAUCUCUGUAUGUUGAUAUGUCAUACCUGAUGCCUGAGUGAAUUCCUGAGUACAACCCAUUGAAGUGGAACCAAAAUCAUGAUUAGUUGUUGCUUGAUCAUCUUCUGAAAUUAUUUGUGCAUUUUGUGUUGCUUCAUCC
rnacentral:lncRNA from 1 species